rnacentral:ribozyme from 18 species
UUUCUGGUAGUUUUUUCCUUUCCUUUUCUUCUUUAAUUUCUUUUUCUUUCUCUCUCUCUUU